rnacentral:rRNA from 1 species
CGCAGGAAGCAGGCAGAUCCCCUUCGGGGGUGAUGCCUGUGGAAUGAGCGGCGGACGGGUGAGUAACACGUGGGCAACCUGCCUGUAAGAUCGGAAUAACUCCGGGAAACCGGGGCUAAUGCCGGGUAAUCUUUUCCCUCGCAUGAGGGAGAAGUAAAAGAUGGCCUUUGGCUAUCACUUACAGAUGGGCCCGCGGCGCAUUAGCUAGUUGGUGAGGUAAUAGCUCACCAAGGCGACGAUGCGUAGCCGACCUGAGAGGGUGAUCGGCCACACUGGGACUGAGACACGGCCCAGACUCCUACGGGAGGCAGCAGUAGGGAAUCUUCCGCAAUGGACGAAAGUCUGACGGAGCAACGCCGCGUGAACGAUGAAGGUCUUCGGAUCGUAAAGUUCUGUUGUUAGGGAAGAACAAGUACCGUGCGAAUAGAGCGGUACCUUGACGGUACCUAACGAGGAAGCCCCGGCUAACUACGUGCCAGCAGCCGCGGUAAUACGUAGGGGGCAAGCGUUGUCCGGAAUUAUUGGGCGUAAAGCGCGCGCAGGCGGUUUCUUAAGUCUGAUGUGAAAGCCCACGGCUCAACCGUGGAGGGUCAUUGGAAACUGGGGAACUUGAGGACAGAAGAGGAGAGUGGAAUUCCACGUGUAGCGGUGAAAUGCGUAGAUAUGUGGAGGAACACCAGUGGCGAAGGCG